UCCCUGGUGGUCCAGUGGUUAAGACUCUGAGUUCCUGAUGCAGGGGACAUGGGUUCGAUUCCUGGUCGGGGAA
rfam:Ovis aries breed Texel chromosome 5, whole genome shotgun sequence.